rnacentral:misc_RNA from 1 species
UUUUAAUCCUAUAAUGGAUGAUGGAUCUUCUCUCUUUAUCACUUUCAAGAUCUUUUAACCUAAAAAUUCAAUCAUUUCUUCCCCCUUUUUUCCCUGAUUCAAUCGAUUUUCUCCGGAAAAUUUUCAGAGAGGGAGAGAGAGAGAGAAGGGAGACUAAAACAGGAGGACAUUAGAAAAUGAAGGUCCCGUGCUGCUCCGUUUGCCAAACAGGGUACAACGAGGAGGAGAGAGUUCCUUUGCUGCUACAAUGCGGCCACGGCUUCUGCAAGGAUUGUCUCUCGCGGAUGUUCUCUUCUUCGCUCGAUACGACGCUUGCUUGUCCCCGCUGUCGCUACGUGUCACUCGUUGGUAACUCUGUCAACGCUCUCCGCAAGAACUAUGCUGUCCUCGCCCUCCUACACUCACCUUCUGCUGCGGCGCCGGCGCCCAACUUUGAUUGCGAUUACACUGACGAUGAUGAGAAGGAGGACAAUGAGGCGGAAGAGGAGAGAUAUAGCCGUGGGUCCCACGCAUCGAGUUCUGGAGCAUGUGGGCCGGUGAUCGAGAUUGGGG